AGAAUAAAUCAUUUUCAAUGCACAGAGAUGUCGGACUUUCCAGACUUUUCUAGCAGAAGAAGAAACUGAUUUCUGAUGAAACUUGCUCCACAGUGGGACGCUGUCCAUGUCUUUGUCCACCACAUCUGAACAAGCUGCAGGAACUCCCAAGCCAGGGCUGCAAGAACAAGAACAAAGUUCUCAAUUUCUGCAGAGUCCAGGCCUGUUUCA